ensembl:lncRNA
GUAAGUGUUCUGAAUGUUAUGGUUUUUAGUGUGUGUUGUCUGUUAUGGGCAGUGCUGGGUAGUAAGUGAUUACAUAAUCAGAUUAAACCAAUCCAAUAGAUUGUUACAAACAUGUAAUGUUUAAUCAGUAACGGACUACAAUUUGUGAAAAUUGUUCACCUUAUGACUUACAACAGUAAUAUCACACGUCUCCUCAACAAGACACAUGAUCUGAGGAUUCAUUCAUUGUUAACAGAGGAAAGACACAGCUGUCUUCAGACCACACAACGGCCCGCCAAUCGAUAUCACAACAUGUUUUCUUCAUGCCUGACAGCAGGAUUCUUGAGAUAAAGCCAUAGGUCAGACGUCCAUAUAGGAUACGUGAUGCUCACUCAGCAAGACUGGAGGAGAAAAAGUUCACCAGGCAGAUGCA